ncrna:Shewanella baltica OS223 RT-12 RNA
UAACAUUACGCGGCAACGUCUUAGGACAAAACGGUUGUUUAAACAACUUGGUUAAGCCGGAGUAGGGCGUGUGGAAUUGCCGCAGUUCUAAGUCUGCUCCGGUUUUGCUAAU